rnacentral:Y_RNA from 1 species
GGCUGGUCUGAUGGUAAUGAGUUAUCAGAACAUUGGUGUCACUAAAGUUGGUAUACAACCCCCACACUGCUAAAUUUGACUGGCUUAAA